GGUGCCAUGGUGUAGCGGUUAGCACCUCAGACUCUUAAUCUGGAGACCUGAGUUCGUAUCUCUGUGGGACCU
rnacentral:tRNA from 1 species